UACGUAGGGACCGAGCGUUGUCCGGAUUCAUUGGGCGUAAAGAGCUCGUAGGCGGCCACUCAAGUCGAAUGUGAAACCUCGAGGCUUAACCUCGAGCCUGCAUUCGAUACUGGGCGGCUAGAGUCUGGUAGGGGGGAUCUGGAAUUCCUGGUGUAGCGGUGGAAUGCGCAGAUAUCAGGAGGAACACCGGUGGCGAAGGCGGGUCUCUGGGCCGAUACUGACGCUGAGGAGCGAAAGCGUGGGGAGCGAACAGG
rnacentral:rRNA from 1 species